rnacentral:rRNA from 1 species
GACGAACGCUGGCGGCGUGCCUAAUACAUGCAAGUUGAGCGCUGAAGGUUGGUACUUGUACCAACUGGAUGAGCAGCGAACGGGUGAGUAACGCGUGGGGAAUCUGCCUUUGAGCGGGGGACAACAUUUGGAAACGAGUGCUAAUACCGCAUAAAAACUUUAAACACAAGUUUUAAGUUUGAAAGAUGCAAUUGCAUCACUCAAAGAUGAUCCCGCGUUGUAUUAGCUAGUUGGUGAGGUAAAGGCUCACCAAGGCGAUGAUACAUAGCCGACCUGAGAGGGUGAUCGGCCACAGUGGGACUGAGACACGGCCCAAACUCCUACGGGAGGCAGCAGUAGGGAAUCUUCGGCAAUGGACGAAAGUCUGACCGAGCAACGCCGCGUGAGGGAAGAAGGUUUUCGGAUCGUAAAACUCGGUUGGUAGAGAAGAACGUUGGUGAGAGUGGAAAGCUCAUCAAGUGACGGUAACUACCCAGAAAGGGACGGCUAACUACGUG